CUGGAACUGGGCAUCUAUGAGGAAAAAGGAGUCCUUGGGUUAAUUCAAGCAAGCAGUGGGCCAUGAUAAUGGGGAGAUCAACACUUACUCUCUGGUGGUAUCCUGUCUUUGUGUGGGCAGCCGGACAGACUGCGAUGGUGAGGGUACAAUCCAGUCACAUGACCAGUCCCAUCACACCCUGGGGUUUGCCUUGCCUGUCCUCUAUGUGGAAAUAGCGAAGUUGUUCCCCUGGCAUCCUGCCUGCAUCCCGCAUCAUUUUCACCUGCUCAGCC